GCCGUUAAAAAUGUAAUCUAGGUACUAUGUAAGAUUGUUAACACUGUAAGUGGACUGGUGUACAGUGUGUGUGUGCGUGUGUGUGUGUGUGUGUCUUGUGUACCUGUCUGAGGGAAAUGCAGUCUCAGUGGAUGUGUGAAUGGUGGUUUGUGUGUUUGUGUACACUGUGCUUACGGGUAUGAGGCCAAACGUCUGCCCUCUCUCUUGCCAGAAGAGCUCUGUCUGCUCUUUACCCUUCCCUCGGACUGCCCCCCCUGUCCUCUCCUCCUCCUGCGCAUUUGUUGGGUGUCUGUCUCGCACGCUCGUUUCAUCCUCCACUCCUGCCCCUGCUCAUCUGUAUACUGCAUGUUUCUCCUCUUCCUCCCUUUUCAUCUGUAUACUGCAUGUUUCUCCUCUUCCUCCCUUUUCAUCUGUUCACCUUUUGGCUGUUGCCUUUUUAGUCUUGUCUCAAUACAGGUGUUUCUCUCUAUCUCUCUCUCUCUCUCUCUCCAUCUCUCUCUCCCUCUCUCUAUCUCUCCCCAUCUCACUCCAUCUCUCUCUCUCUCCAUCUCUCUCUCUCAAUCUCUCCCUCCCUCUCUCUCUCCAUCUCUCUCUCUCUCCAUCUCUCUCUCCCUCCCUCUCUCUCUCUCCCUCUCUCUCUCUCUCUCCAUCUCUCUCACUCAUUUCUUUCUUUCCUGCUCUCUGCCCCUCUUGCUCACCUUCACAGUCUCUCCCUUUCAGCCUCCUUUUAAUUUCCUUUGCCAUCUCAUCAUCGUCAUCUCCCUUUGUCUGCUUUCUUCCACCUCUUUCGUUUCGUUUCGUUUCUCUUCUCUUCCCUACCCUUCCUAUCUAUUCUCUUCUUGCUUCUGUACACUCUCCUCCCCCUCCUCCUCCUCUCCUCCUCCUCCUCCUCCUCCUCUUCCCUCCCCUCUUGUGUUGAUGGAAGCUCCCAGCCUGUCCUGCAGUGUUGUUCCUUGUGUUCUUAAGCUACUGGUCAAGCCUCUCUUUUCAUCAGCAGAACUCAGAUUGAUUCAGAGUGACGAGAGCCCACGGGUAGAUGGUGCUG
rnacentral:lncRNA from 1 species